UCCGUAGGUGAACCUGCGGAGGGAUCAUUACUGAGUUUACGCUCUAUAACCCUUUGUGAACAUACCUAUCACUGUUGCUUCGGCGGGUAGGGUCUCCGCGACCCUCCCGGCCUCCCGCCUCCGGGCGGGUCGGCGCCCGCCGGAGGAUAACCAAACUCUGAUUUAACGACGUUUCUUCUGAGUGGUACAAGCAAAUAAUCAAAACUUUUAACAACGGAUCUCUUGGUUCUGGCAUCGAUGAAGAACGCAGCGAAAUGCGAUAAGUAAUGUGAAUUGCAGAAUUCAGUGAAUCAUCGAAUCUUUGAACGCACAUUGCGCCCGCCAGCAUUCUGGCGGGCAUGCCUGUUCGAGCGUCAUUUCAACCCUCAAGCUCUGCUUGGUGUUGGGGCCCUACAGCUGAUGUAGGCCCUCAAAGGUAGUGGCGGACCCUCCCGGAGCCUCCUUUGCGUAGUAACUUUACGUCUCGCACUGGGAUCCGGAGGGACUCUUGCCGUAAAACCCCCCAAUUUUCCAAAGGUUGACCUCGGAUCAGGUAGGAAUACCCGCUGAACUUAAGCAUAUCAAUAAGCGGAGGA
rnacentral:rRNA from 1 species